AUAAGUAUUGAUAGAACUUGAAGACUCCUCAGUUGAUGCUUGACUACUUCCAUGAAUACCUUCAUGACUCACAUACCACUCAUAAAUAGCCAUCAAAUUGGCUUUCAAAGACUUCAUCAUGUUACUAACAACUUCCCAAUCCAUAUAUAGAUCAUUCAAACAAUAUUCAACAUAAUCCAUUUUGUAUCUUGGAUCAAGAAUAGUAGCAAAAAGCAAUAAUUGAUUCA
rnacentral:lncRNA from 1 species